CAGCAGCCGCGGGAAUACGAAGGGGGCUAGCGUUGUUCGGAAUCACUGGGCGUAAAGCGCACGUAGGUGGUGGUUUAAGUCCGUUGUGAAAGCCCUGGGCUCAACCUGGGAAUUGCAGUGGAUACUGGGUCACUAGAGUGUGGUAGAGGAUAGUGGAAUUUCCGGUGUAGCAGUGAAAUGCGUAGAGAUCGGAAGGAACAUCUGUGGCGAAGGCGACUAUCUGGGCCAACACUGACACUGAGGCACGAAAGCGUGGGGAGCAAACAGGAUUAGAUACCCCGGUAGUCCCUGUCUCUUAUAC
rnacentral:rRNA from 1 species